ACUCCUACGGGUGGCUGCAGUGGGGAAUAUUGCGCAAUGGGGGGAACCCUGACGCAGCCAUGCCGCGUGAAUGAAGAAGGCCUUCGGGUUGUAAAGUUCUUUCGGUAUUGAGGAAGGUUGAUGUGUUAAUAGCACAUCAAAUUGACGUUAAAUACAGAAGAAGCACCGGCUAACUCCGUGCCAGCAGCCGCGGUAAUACGGAGGGUGCGAGCGUUAAUCGGAAUAACUGGGCGUAAAGGGCACGCAGGCGGUUAUUUAAGUGAGGUGUGAAAGCCCUGGGCUUAACCUAGGAAUUGCAUUUCAGACUGGGUAACUAGAGUGCUUUAGGGAGGGGUAGAAUUCCACGUGUAGCGGUGAAAUGCGUAGAGAUGUGGAGGAAUACCGAAGGCGAAGGCAGCCCCUUGGGAAUGUACUGACGCUCAUGUGCGAAAGCGUGGGGAGCAAACAGGAUUAGAUACCCUGGUAGUCCACGCUGUAAACGCUGUCGAUUUGGGGGUUGGGGUUUAACUCUGGCGCCCGUAGCUAACGUGAUAAAUCGACCGCCUGGGGAGUACGGCCGCAAGGUUAAAACUCAAAUGAAUUGACGGGGGCCCGCACAAGCGGUGGAGCAUGUGGUUUAAUUCGAUGCAACGCGAAGAACCUUACCUACUCUUGACAUCCUAAGAAGAGCUCAGAGAUGAGCUUGUGCCUUCGGGAACUUAGAGACAGGUGAUGCAUGGAUGUCGUCAGCUCGUG
rnacentral:rRNA from 1 species